UAAUAAGUGUUUUAUGGCACUUUUAAAAUCCAUAUCCACCUUGUGUGCAAUGUUGAAGAGGAAUUUGUGAGGUCUUUUUAAGAUUUCCUUAUUUCUUUUUCCCAUAACAAACUCAUUUUUUUUUAAUAUAUCGUCUGAAAACUAUUAUGAAUACUUAAUUCAAAAUA
rnacentral:misc_RNA from 1 species